UGGCUCAGUUGGUAGCAUGGCGCUUGCAAUGCCAAGGUUGUGGGUUCGACUCCUAC
rnacentral:tRNA from 1 species